GAUGUAACGGGGCUCAAGCACGCCACCGAAGUUGUGGCAUUGACAUUAUUGGUAGGCCUUCGUGGUCCAGCCGUGUUGAUGGGUAGGAGAGCGUCGUGUGGCCAGCGAAGCGGCGGUGUAAACCAGCCGUGGAGGCUACACGAGUGAGAAUGCAGGCAUGAGUAGCGAAUGACGUGUGAGAAACACGUCCUCCGAAAGACCAAGGGUUCCAGGGUCAAGCUAAUCUUCCCUGGGUAAGUCGGGACCUAAGGCG
rnacentral:rRNA from 1 species